AGACUGUCUCCUCCUAAAGGGAUAGUCAGUCCCCUUUGCCUCCCACACUCCCCCCAGCAAGCAGGAUUUCUCAACUUCCUGCUUAUGCAAACCCUUGAGCAGUGCCAGCUCCUCAACCAAGAGACUCUCCACUCUGUUUGCCACUGAGGCCAAAGGCUGUGAUGGUUUGGCCCGCUCCCAACUCCCUCCUGAGGCCAGAAAACACCUUUGCUGUUCCCAGUUGGGGAGACUAAAGCACAAAUGAACAGCCAGCCCAGUGAUGACUCUGCCACUGAAGCAAGGUGAUAGUUCACGGAAUUAUCGAUAUUAAAAGCUUGCAGAUGUCCUUGGUGGUCCUGUGGUUAAGACUCCAAGCUCCCAGUGCAAGGCGUGUGGCUUUGAUCCCUUGUCAGGGAACUAAGAUCCCAUGUGCCAUGUGGUAUAGCAAAAAAAUAAAGUAAAAUG
ensembl:lncRNA